rnacentral:misc_RNA from 1 species
CCGAGUUUACAACUCCCAAACCCAAUGUGAACGUUACCAAACUGUUGCCUCGGCGGGAUCUCUGCCCCGGGUGCGUCGCAGCCCCGGACCAAGGCGCCCGCCGGAGGACCAACCAAAACUCUUAUUGUAUACCCCCUCGCGGGUUUUUUUUAUAAUCUGAGCCUUCUCGGCGCCUCUCGUAGGCGUUUUCGAAAAUGAAUCA